rnacentral:rRNA from 1 species
AUUGAACGCUGGCGGCAUGCCUUACACAUGCAAGUCGAACGGUAACAGGUCUUCGGAUGCUGACGAGUGGCGAACGGGUGAGUAAUACAUCGGAACGUGCCUAGUAGUGGGGGAUAACUACUCGAAAGAGUGGCUAAUACCGCAUGAGAUCUACGGAUGAAAGCAGGGGAUCGCAAGACCUUGUGCUACUAGAGCGGCCGAUGGCAGAUUAGGUAGUUGGUGGGAUAAAAGCUUACCAAGCCGACGAUCUGUAGCUGGUCUGAGAGGACGAUCAGCCACAGUGGAACUGGGACACGGCCCAGACUCCUACGGGAGGCAGCAGUGGGGAAUUUUGGACAAUGGGCGCAAGCCUGAUCCAGCAAUGCAGCGUGCAGGAUGAAGGCCUUCGGGUUGUAAACUGCUUUUGUACGGAACGAAAAGCCCUGGGUUAAUACCCUGGGGUCAUGACGGUACCGUAAGAAUAAGCACCGGCUAACUACGUGCCAGCCGCCGCGGUAA